rnacentral:lncRNA from 1 species
GACUAGGAGCUGGCGGUCCGAGCUGUGGCUUGGAAGACCGACGCGAUGAAGCCCAGACCUGCAGGGUUCGUGGAUAAUAAACUCAAGCAGCGAGUCAUCCAGUAUAGACUAUGGUCGAAGAAAAAGAAAUGCUUUUAGGAUUCAGGUAGAAAAAGCAUAAUUAGUAGUGAGAAGGAACUUAAGAAUUUAACAGAAUUAGAAGAUGAACAUUUGGCAAAAAGGGCAAGACAAGGUGAAGAGGAUAAUGA